rnacentral:tRNA from 1 species
GCAUUGGUGGUUCCAUGGUAGAAUUCUUGCCUUCUGUGUGGGAGAUUUGUGUUCAAUUCCCAACCAAUGCA